GACAGGUUUCUCCUAGCAACAGCUUUGAUUUGCUGUCUUCUUCCCCUGGUUCCUCCGCCUUCCCAGACCAGAACGUCGAGAUUUGCAAGCUACCCAGGCAAUGGCGUCAGCUGAUCUGAGAGGGUGAGGGUUAAAUCGCAGCAGAAGGAUUUAAGCCUUUUAAGGUUCAGCUGAGCAGCGCAGAAAAAGAUGAUCCCUCACUGAAUCAGAUCACUCCAACCAAGGAAACAGAGAUUGCUUUAGUACCAAUAGAGCAAAGUACAAAGUCCGUCAAUGCUCCAGAUAUUGCAACGUCAACAAAUACACCACAUAAGAAUGAUGAUACCAUUUUU